GGGUUGUGAGGUUAAGCGACUAAGCGUACACGGUGGAUGCCCUGGCAGUCAGAGGCGAUGAAGGACGUGCUAAUCUGCGAUAAGCGUCGGUAAGGUGAUAUGAACCGUUAUAACCGGCGAUUUCCGAAUGGGGAAACCCAGUGUGAUUCGUCACACUAUCAUUAACUGAAUCCAUAGGUUAAUGAGGCGAACCGGGGGAACUGAAACAUCUAAGUACCCCGAGGAAAAGAAAUCAACCGAGAUUCCCCCAGUAGCGGCGAGCGAACGGGGAGGAGCCCAGAGCCUGAAUCAGUGUGUGUGUUAGUGGAAGCGUCUGGAAAGGCGCGCGAUACAGGGUGACAGCCCCGUACACAAAAAUGCACAUACUGUGAGCUCGAUGAGUAGGGCGGGACACGUGGUAUCCUGUCUGAAUAUGGGGGGACCAUCCUCCAAGGCUAAAUACUCCUGACUGACCGAUAGUGAACCAGUACCGUGAGGGAAAGGCGAAAAGAACCCCGGCGAGGGGAGUGAAAAAGAACCUGAAACCGUGUACGUACAAGCAGUGGGAGCACGCUUAGGCGUGUGACUGCGUACCUUUUGUAUAAUGGGUCAGCGACUUAUAUUCUGUAGCAAGGUUAACCGAAUAGGGGAGCCGAAGGGAAACCGAGUCUUAACUGGGCGUUAAGUUGCAGGGUAUAGACCCGAAACCCGGUGAUCUAGCCAUGGGCAGGUUGAAGGUUGGGUAACACUAACUGGAGGACCGAACCGACUAAUGUUGAAAAAUUAGCGGAUGACUUGUGGCUGGGGGUGAAAGGCCAAUCAAACCGGGAGAUAGCUGGUUCUCCCCGAAAGCUAUUUAGGUAGCGCCUCGUGAAUUCAUCUCCGGGGGUAGAGCACUGUUUCGGCAAGGGGGUCAUCCCGACUUACCAACCCGAUGCAAACUGCGAAUACCGGAGAAUGUUAUCACGGGAGACACACGGCGGGUGCUAACGUCCGUCGUGAAGAGGGAAACAACCCAGACCGCCAGCUAAGGUCCCAAAGUCAUGGUUAAGUGGGAAACGAUGUGGGAAGGCCCAGACAGCCAGGAUGUUGGCUUAGAAGCAGCCAUCAUUUAAAGAAAGCGUAAUAGCUCACUGGUCGAGUCGGCCUGCGCGGAAGAUGUAACGGGGCUAAACCAUGCACCGAAGCUGCGGCAGCGACGCUUAUGCGUUGUUGGGUAGGGGAGCGUUCUGUAAGCCUGUGAAGGUGUACUGUGAGGUAUGCUGGAGGUAUCAGAAGUGCGAAUGCUGACAUAAGUAACGAUAAAGCGGGUGAAAAGCCCGCUCGCCGGAAGACCAAGGGUUCCUGUCCAACGUUAAUCGGGGCAGGGUGAGUCGACCCCUAAGGCGAGGCCGAAAGGCGUAGUCGAUGGGAAACAGGUUAAUAUUCCUGUACUUGGUGUUACUGCGAAGGGGGGACGGAGAAGGCUAUGUUGGCCGGGCGACGGUUGUCCCGGUUUAAGCGUGUAGGCUGGUUUUCCAGGCAAAUCCGGAAAAUCAAGGCUGAGGCGUGAUGACGAGGCACUACGGUGCUGAAGCAACAAAUGCCCUGCUUCCAGGAAAAGCCUCUAAGCAUCAGGUAACAUCAAAUCGUACCCCAAACCGACACAGGUGGUCAGGUAGAGAAUACCAAGGCGCUUGAGAGAACUCGGGUGAAGGAACUAGGCAAAAUGGUGCCGUAACUUCGGGAGAAGGCACGCUGAUAUGUAGGUGAAGUCCCUCGCGGAUGGAGCUGAAAUCAGUCGAAGAUACCAGCUGGCUGCAACUGUUUAUUAAAAACACAGCACUGUGCAAACACGAAAGUGGACGUAUACGGUGUGACGCCUGCCCGGUGCCGGAAGGUUAAUUGAUGGGGUUAGCGCAAGCGAAGCUCUUGAUCGAAGCCCCGGUAAACGGCGGCCGUAACUAUAACGGUCCUAAGGUAGCGAAAUUCCUUGUCGGGUAAGUUCCGACCUGCACGAAUGGCGUAAUGAUGGCCAGGCUGUCUCCACCCGAGACUCAGUGAAAUUGAACUCGCUGUGAAGAUGCAGUGUACCCGCGGCAAGACGGAAAGACCCCGUGAACCUUUACUAUAGCUUGACACUGAACAUUGAGCCUUGAUGUGUAGGAUAGGUGGGAGGCUUUGAAGUGUGGACGCCAGUCUGCAUGGAGCCGACCUUGAAAUACCACCCUUUAAUGUUUGAUGUUCUAACGUUGACCCGUAAUCCGGGUUGCGGACAGUGUCUGGUGGGUAGUUUGACUGGGGCGGUCUCCUCCUAAAGAGUAACGGAGGAGCACGAAGGUUGGCUAAUCCUGGUCGGACAUCAGGAGGUUAGUGCAAUGGCAUAAGCCAGCUUGACUGCGAGCGUGACGGCGCGAGCAGGUGCGAAAGCAGGUCAUAGUGAUCCGGUGGUUCUGAAUGGAAGGGCCAUCGCUCAACGGAUAAAAGGUACUCCGGGGAUAACAGGCUGAUACCGCCCAAGAGUUCAUAUCGACGGCGGUGUUUGGCACCUCGAUGUCGGCUCAUCACAUCCUGGGGCUGAAGUAGGUCCCAAGGGUAUGGCUGUUCGCCAUUUAAAGUGGUACGCGAGCUGGGUUUAGAACGUCGUGAGACAGUUCGGUCCCUAUCUGCCGUGGGCGCUGGAGAA
rnacentral:rRNA from 1 species